AGCGGAGGAAAAGAAACCAACAGGGAUUGCCCCAGUAACGGCGAGUGAAGCGGCAACAGCUCAAAUUUGAAAUCUGGCCCCAGGCCCGAGUUGUAAUUUGCAGAGGAUGCUUUUGGCGCGGUGCCUUCCGAGUUCCCUGGAACGGGACGCCAUAGAGGGUGAGAGCCCCGUACGGUUGGACACCAAGCCUUUGUAAAGCUCCUUCGACGAGUCGAGUAGUUUGGGAAUGCUGCUCAAAAUGGGAGGUAUAUUUCUUCUAAAGCUAAAUAUUGGCCAGAGACCGAUAGCGCACAAGUAGAGUGAUCGAAAGAUGAAAAGCACUUUGAAAAGAGGGUUAAACAGCACGUGAAAUUGUUAAAAGGGAAGCGCUUAUGACCAGACUUGCGCCCGGUGAAUCACCCAGCUCUCGCGGCUGGGGCACUUUGCCGGCUCAGGCCAGCAUCAGCUCGCUGUCGGGGACAAAAGCUUCGGGAACGUAGCUCUCUUCGGGGAGUGUUAUAGCCCGUUGCACAAUACCCUUCGGCGGGCUGAGGUACGCGCUCCGCAAGGAUGCUGGCGUAAUGGUCAUCAGCGACCCGUCUUG
rnacentral:rRNA from 1 species